UUAUAAUAGCUGACGAAGGCUUAUAAAUAGAAAAAAAUGUUUUACCUUAUACAAGAAAUACAUACACAAUAUUUCUUAAAUUAAGAAAUAGUUGUACAUAAUAAAGAAAUUUCGAAUUUGGCGCGUUUUUCUUUCAUUCUCCACAUUCAUCUUCUCGCGAGGAAGAAGAAGCGAUGAUUGAAUUCGGGGACCUCAGUCCUCGCAAUGCGCCGAUGACAGGGAUCCUUUCGACUCUUUCAAGGCGUAUUUCUCUUCGAUCACAAGAGCAUUCGGUAUGUUCGUAUCUGUUUUUCAAUUCCCCUUAUCUUCCACCCCGAAUGGCUGAAUUUUCGUUUUCGAUUUCUUGAUCACAUGAGAUAUCUCAUUUGCAUAUUCGAUGGAGUAGCAAUUCUUCGUAAUGACGAUUAGUUGAUUGAUGUCGUCACGGACAACAUUGAAAUACUGUUGUUUGAAUCGUUAGCUCUCUUUUCCCGCCCUAGCUCUUAUUUUUAGGUAAAGAUACCUAAAUUUUGAUCCCAACUAUUCGUCAAAAUCAAGAGUUCUAGAAGCAAAUUUGUUUCAGUCUGUCUAUUGAAAUCUCUGUUUCAGGAGUUAGUCAUAUGAGCUAAAAUGUUCUCUGCAGUUCGUGGGGAUUCCUCUCUCUGGUGGCUUCGUAUUUUAUGAUGAAUAUUCUCCUCGUUUUGCCGGCUACCGAGUUACUAAAUUUCAAUUGUUUUCUCAGAAUAGAUUCGUUUUCCCGCAGCAUGCUUAAGCGUAAUUAUAUGAUGUCUAUCACCCACAACGAAUUUGAAAGUUGUUAUGUGACGAAGAACAUUUUCUAUCAAAUUUUUGUUCCUCUAGAUCAGUGAUUGAAAUCUAAAUGAAUAGAGGUCCAAUUUGAAAGUUGGUCUAGGUAUGCACUGGGAGAACAUUUUAUAUCAGAUUGUGUUCCACCAGACCAGUGAUCUUUGAUCACUGUAAUUUUGACGGUAUUCAAGAGGAAAAUCAAGAAGCCAUUGUCACGUGCUCACAAAGUUCACUUGUCAAACUUCGCAACCCUUCAAGGCGAGAAAGGAAUCGUAUAAAGCAACAGCUAUAGCUGGAUUUGUGGGUCUUGGUGAUCCAGUAAGUUGAUAACUGUCAAGACAAACAGCUCAUAAUUUCCUCUGAUAAAUUCGAGGCCUGGCUGGCUUUUGAUGAGUGGCUAUUCUAUUACACAUCAAGUUUGUUACCUUCAAGGCGAGGAAGGAACCAUAAAGAGCUGCAGCUGGCUGGAUUUCGUAGGGUUUGGCGAUCCGGUAUUCAAGAUUUCAGUUCAGUUGGAGAGUGAUAAAUUGGGAUAUGGACGGAGGGCAUGGCUUUAGUAAUUAUAGGCUAUGGAACUACUCUCCAAUGUUUUUUCAGACACCAGUAGGGAAAAAAGUGGCAGGAAUUUUGGAGUAUUGCUCUAAUUUUCUGAGUCAAAUCAGAGUCUUACAACACAUCGUGGCUUGAUUUUGGAGGCAAAUAACUAUUCUUUGUUGACAAACAUGGUGAAUAUAUUCGAAAAAAUCAA